GACGAACGCUGGCGGCGUGCUUAACACAUGCAAGUCGAACGGAAAGGCCCUGCUUUUGUGGGGUGCUCGAGUGGCGAACGGGUGAGUAACACGUGAGUAACCUGCCCUUGACUUUGGGAUAACUUCAGGAAACUGGGGCUAAUACCGGAUAGGAGCUCCUGCUGCAUGGUGGGGGUUGGAAAGUUUCGGCGGUUGGGGAUGGACUCGCGGCUUAUCAGCUUGUUGGUGGGGUAGUGGCUACCAAGGCUUUGACGGGUAGCCUGCCUGGGAGGGUGACCGGCCACAUUGGGACUGAGAUACGGCCCAGACUCCUACGGGAGGCAGCAGUGGGGAAUAUUGCACAAUGGGCGGAAGCCUGAUGCAGCAACGCCGCGUGCGGGAUGACGGCCUUCGGGUUGUAAACCGCUUUCGCCUGUGACGAAGCGUGAGUGACGGUAAUGGGUAAAGAAGCACCGGCUAACUACGUG
rnacentral:rRNA from 1 species